rnacentral:pre_miRNA from 1 species
AAAAUACUCCCUCCGUUCCGAAUUACUUGUCGCAGGUAUGAAUGUAUCUAGAUGUAUUUUAGUUCUAGAUACAUCCAUUUCCGCGACAAGUAAUUUGGAACGGAGGGAGUACAAG